AGAGUUUGAUCAUGGCUCAGAACGAACGCUGGCGGCAGGCUUAACACAUGCAAGUCGAACGCUCACCUUUGGGUGGGAGUGGCAGACGGGUGAGUAACGCGUGGGAACGUACCCUUCAGUUCGGAAUAACCCAGGGAAACUUGGGCUAAUACCGGAUACGUCCGUAAGGAGAAAGAUUUAUCGCUGAAGGAUCGGCCCGCGUCGGAUUAGCUAGUUGGUGGGGUAACGGCCCACCAAGGCGACGAUCCGUAGCUGGUCUGAGAGGAUGAUCAGCCACACUGGGACUGAGACACGGCCCAGACUCCUACGGGAGGCAGCAGUGGGGAAUAUUGGUCAAUGGGCGCAAGCCUGAACCAGCCAUGCCGCGUGAGUGAAGAAGGCCUUAGGGUUGUAAAGCUCUUUCAGCGGGGACGAUAAUGACGGUACCCGCAGAAGAAGCCCCGGCUAACUUCGUGCCAGCAGCCGCGGUAAUACGAAGGGGGCUAGCGUUGUUCGGAAUUACUGGGCGUAAAGCGCGCGUAGGCGGAUAUUUAAGUCAGGGGUGAAAUCCCAGGGCUCAACCCUGGAACUGCCUUUGAUACUGGAUGUCUGGAGUUCGGGAGAGGUGAGUGGAAUUCCCAGUGUAGAGGUGAAAUUCGUAGAUAUUGGGAAGAACACCGGUGGCGAAGGCGGCUCUCUGGACCGAGACUGACGCUGAGGCGCGAAAGCGUGGGGAGCAAACAGGAUUAGAUACCCUAGUAGUCC
rnacentral:rRNA from 1 species